GACGAACGCUGGCGGCGCGCUUAACACAUGCAAGUCGAACGGAAAGGCCUGCUUUCCCUUGUGGAUUGCGGGUACUCGAGUGGCGAACGGGUGAGUAACACGUGAGUGAUCUGCCCCCAACUUGGGUAUAAGCCUGGGAAACUGGGUCUAAUUCCCGAUAGGACUGCAGGGUGGUGCCUGUGGUGGAAAACGAUUUUCUAGUGGUUGGGGAUGAGCUCGCGGCCUAUCAGCUUGUUGGUGGGGUAAUGGCCUACCAAGGCGGCGACGGGUAGCCGGCCUGGGAGGGUGGACGGCCACAUUGGGACUGAGAUACGGCCCAGACUCCUACGGGAGGCAGCAGUGGGGAGUAGUGCACAAUGGGCGGAAGCCUGAUGCAGCGACGCCGCGUGGGGGAUGACGGCCUUCGGGUUGUAAACUCCUUUCGACCGCGAGGAAGCCACCUGGUUGGAAGGGUGGUGACGGUAGUGGUAGAAGAAGCACCGGCUAACUACGUG
rnacentral:rRNA from 1 species